UGAGGAAUAUUGGACAAUGGGCGCAAGCCUGAUCCAGCCCUGCCUCUUUCAUUAAUCAUCCUCUCUUUUUUUUAACCUUCUUUUUUCCUUUAAGAACCCCUCCUACUUUUAUUAUCUUUACUUUCCCUUAAUCAUCCUUCUCUUCUCACUCCUUUCCAUCAUCCUCUUUAAUACGGAGGAUCCAAGCGUUAUCCUGAAUCAUUGGGUUUAAAGGGUCCGUAGGCGGUUUAGUAAGUCAGUGGUGAAAGCCCAUCGCUCAACGAUGGAACGGCCAUUGAUACUGCUAGACUUGAAUUAUUAGGAAGUAACUAGAAUAUGUAGUGUAGCGGUGAAAUGCUUAGAUAUUAAAUGGAAUACCAAUUGCGAAGGCAGGUUACUAAUAAUGGAUUGACGCUGAUGGACGAAAGCGUGGGGAGCGAACA
rnacentral:rRNA from 1 species